GUUGAAAGCAUAAAUGGAAAUAUAUCCACCUUUCUCCAUUAGAAAAGUGACUGAUCAACACAAGCUUGUGGUAGACUAGAAAUCGCGAAAUCAAGGUGAGAACAUGCGCAGUGUCUAACCUACGUCUGUUUUAAAAAAUAAAAAAUAAAAAAACUAAAAGCACCUGGUUGCUAGUUAGUUCCUAUUCUAUGUUUCAAAAUCUUAGCCAUUGUACGUUCAAAUUUGCUCUUCUUUUUGAGAAUAUUAACAUAUUAUCUAUCAUACGAAUAACUUUCAAAUAUCAUGUAAGAAAUAUCUCACAAUUGCUUACCUCAACCAAUCUCUCUCCAUCCCCUAAGUCUUGUACUCCUUUUGCAAGUCUCAGGGCUGCGAGCAAACGAUGUGUUGCAAAGAUCUUUGAGCUUGAUUAUGGAUGUUUGGAACGUCUUCUGGACAAGAUCCAACGAGUUAGACACAACAAGUACAGAGACCCCUAAUUUUGACAAAGUCUGAAGUUUUGGACGUAGAAUUUCAAGUUUGAAGAAGACACGAGUCACGAAUGUGGGUCUGCAGCUAGCAAUUUGGCAGACGGGCGAGCCUCACUUAGAAAUCAUACAAGAUCUGAAUUCGACUCAGAGAUCUAUCCUGGAAAGGAAGUCUCAACAAGAGCAGCCACCGCACCGACACAGAGUGAAACAAAAGCCACCUACAUCAGUAUCCUCACUGAUCUUUAGCAGUUCUGCCAGCAAAGUAAAUAGGGCCAAUUUCGUCAGCUACCAUCAGAAUUCCAAGGAUGAGAUAGCUAAGAAUAGAGUCCUCUCCAUGAUAAGUUACGGCAAUCAAGUAGGAGUCCAGAGCCUGCACAAGGGCUACCGAAAGCCUCCCACAAAUUGCGUCGUUCAAAAACUCGAAGCAGCAGUAACUCCUUACAUCUGAGAGUCUCACUUGGUCUUCUUGUGGUGGAAUAUACCAAGCGGUCCCUCUGUCCAAAAUUUGGUGGAGCAAUGUCAACAAGUAAAAACCAAACAGCCCUCCAAGUCAGCGAUAUAUUCCCUUCCAUAACGCUGACUGCAAACAUUGCCACAUUGCGCCCACCAGAACUUGCCUUGCUGAUGCUAAAGCAGCCAGAGGAUGCUGACUUGUGCACAGCUGAAUGCUGUGACCCCUCUAACAAUUGAAUGCAUCUAAACCAGCUACUACAUUAAAAUAGGAAGCUUUUGUGAAGCCAAUGGUCACAUUAAUGGGCGUGGAUUCAAUACAAAAGA
rnacentral:lncRNA from 1 species